GCAGCUCAGUUGGCAGAGCAUGAGGCUCUAAAUCUCAAGGUUGUGGGUUCAAGCCCACGUUGGACA